ACCCUCCCAGGGUCGCACCUGAAGACUUUCCAGUACUCUAUCAGUCUCGAUGACAGGAGGGAGAGUCAAGCAGAGGCAAAUCCAUUCCAUUCCUAGGUUGGGCAGUGGCUAGAGAGUGGAAGGCAAUUUGCUACACAU